rnacentral:sRNA from 1 species
GGAGCUCGGGGCGGGGUCGGGGGGUCGUGAGGGAUCCCGGCGCCGCGUCGCUCCUCCGAGUCUCGUCUUCCCGGCGAGGCGGCCCGGGCCCGACGUUUCUAGCGGAGGGAGCCGCGUGCCUGGGCCUGGUCUCUGAGGCCGCUGCGCUGCGAGAGGGGAGCCCGGGUGUGGGGAGGGGCCAUUCCGGGAGUUGACCCAGCUCUGAGGUCGGGCGGCCGCGGGGACCCUGACCUUCUGAGCCACCGGCUUCUGAGGAGACCCGGAGCCCCCUCCUGGAGAAGGCGCCCCGCGGCCCCCGUCCUGGGGCAAGGGUACCAGGGCAAUACUGGCCUGGGGCUCACGCGGGUCGGAGCGCAGCGGGGUGCGUCCCCUGGCGCUGAGCCUGCAGGGUCUUAGGGCAGCAGAGGGGGGAUGAGCAGCGGAGCACGAGGGUGCCUGGCCUUGUUCUGAGCCUUUUGGAGAGGGAAGUGACCAGCCCAAGGUCACCGCACCACGGAGAGGUGUGUCGGCCCAGUCCUUCCUCCACUGUUUCACGAUGGCCAGCACCGCCUUCAACCUGCAGGUGGCCACCCCUGGGG